rnacentral:rRNA from 1 species
ACUCAAAUGAAUUGACGGGGACCCGCACAACCUGUGGAGCGUGUGGUUUAAUUCGAGACAAAGCGAAAAACCUUACCAGGACUUGACAUGCUAGCGUUCUAUUUUUCAGAAAUGAGAGAAAUCCGCAAGGAGGCUAGCACAGGUGCUGCAUGGCUGUCGUCAGCUCGUGCCGUGAGGUGUUCCCUUAAGUGGGGAAACGAGCGCAACCCUCGUCUAAUGUUACAUAUUCAUUAGAGACAGCUUCGAUUAUAUCGAGGAGGAAGGGGAGGAAGACGUCAAGUCAGCACGGCCCUUAUGUCCUGGGUUACACACACACUACAAUGGCGAAGAACAAUGGGAAGCAAGCUAGCAAUAGUAAGCAGAUCCCUUAAAUUUCGCCUCAGUUCAGAUUGGGGGCUGCAACCCGCCCCCAUGAAGUUGGAAUAGGUAGUAAUCGCGGAUCAGCAUGCCGCGGUGAAUACGUUCUCGGGUCUUGUACACACCGCCCGU